rnacentral:rRNA from 1 species
AUUGAACGCUGGCGGCAUGCUUUACACAUGCAAGUCGAACGGUAACAGGGAGCUUGCUCCGCUGACGAGUGGCGAACGGGUGAGUAAUGCGUCGGAACGUGCCGAGUAGUGGGGGAUAACGCAUCGAAAGGUGUGCUAAUACCGCAUACGAACUGAGGUUGAAAGGGGGGGACCUUCGGGCCUCACGCUAUUCGAGCGGCCGACGUCGGAUUAGCUAGUUGGUGAGGUAAAGGCUCACCAAGGCGACGAUCAGUAGCGGGUCUGAGAGGAUGAUCCGCCACACUGGGACUGAGACACGGCCCAGACUCCUACGGGAGGCAGCAGUGGGGAAUUUUGGACAAUGGGCGCAAGCCUGAUCCAGCCAUGCCGCGUGUCUGAAGAAGGCCUUCGGGUUGUAAAGGACUUUUGUCCGGGAGCAAAUGCUGGUGGCUAACAUCCACCGGAGCUGAGAGUACCGGAAGAAUAAGCACCGGCUAACUACGUGCCAGCAGCCGCAGUAACAC